rnacentral:rRNA from 1 species
GGCAUAACCUCGGGAAACUGGGGAUAAUACCCCAUAGACUAUGGAUGCUGGAAUGCUUUGUAGUUGAAAGGUCCGCCGCUUCAGGAUGGGUCUGCGGCCGAUUAGGUUGUUGUUGGGGUAACGGCCCAACAAGCCUGUAAUCGGUACGGGUUGUGGGAGCAAGAGCCCGGAGAUGGAUUCUGAGACACGAAUCCAGGCCCUACGGGGCGCAGCAGGCGCGAAAACUUUACAAUGCGAGCAAUCGUGAUAAGGGAACUCCGAGUGCCUGUAAAAUCAGGCUGUCCGCCAGUGUAGAUAACUGGUGAAGAAAGGGCCGGGCAAGACCGGUGCCAGCCGCCGCGGUAAUACCGGCGACUCGAGUGGUGGCCACUAUUACUGGGCUUAAAGCGUUCGUAGCUGGUCUGUUAAGUCUCUGGGGAGAUCUUCCGGCUUAACCGGAAGGCGUCUCAGGGAUACUGGCAGACUAGGGACCGGAAGAGGUGAGAGGUACUCCAGGGGUAGGAGUGAAAUCCUGUAAUCCUUGGGGGACCACCUGUGGCGAAGGCGUCUCACCAGGACGGCUCCGACAGUGAGGAACGAAAGCUGGGGGAGCAAACCGGAUUAGAUACCCGGGUAGUCCCAGCUGUAAACGAUGCGCGUUAGGUGUAUCGGUGACCACGAGUCACCGAGGUGCCGAAGAGAAAUCGUGAAACGCGCCGCCUGGGAAGUACGGUCGCAAGGCUGAAACUUAAAGGAAUUGGCGGGGGAGCACCACAACGGGUGGAGCCUGCGGUUUAAUCGGACUCAACGCCGGGAAACUCACCGGACAAGACAGCUGAAUGAUAGUCGGGCUGAAGACUCUACUUGACUAGCUGAGAGGAGGUGCAUGGCCGUCGUCAGUUCGUACUGUGAAGCAUCCUGUUAAGUCAGGCAACGAGCGAGACCCACGCCAACAGUUGCUAGCUCGUCCUCCGGGAUGGAGAGGACACUGUUGGGACCGCCUCUGCUAAAGAGGAGGAAGGAAUGGGCAACGGUAGGUCAGCAUGCCCCGAAUUGCCCGGGCUACACGCGGGCUACAAUGGGUGGGACAAUGGGUAUCGACACCGAAAGGUGAAGGCAAUCUCCUAAACCCAUCCUUAGUUCGGAUCGUGGGCUGUAACUCGC